rnacentral:rRNA from 1 species
AGCGAACGCUGGCGGCAGGCCUAACACAUGCAAGUCGAACGGAUCCUUCGGGAUUAGUGGCGGACGGGUGAGUAACACGUGGGAACGUGCCCUUUGGUUCGGAACAACUCAGGGAAACUUGAGCUAAUACCGGAUGUGCCCUUCGGGGGAAAGAUUUAUCGCCAUUGGAGCGGCCCGCGUCUGAUUAGCUAGUUGGUGAGGUAAAGGCUCACCAAGGCGACGAUCAGUAGCUGGUCUGAGAGGAUGAUCAGCCACAUUGGGAUUGAGACACGGCCCAAACUCAUACGGGAGGCAGCAGUGGGGAAUCUUGCGCAAUGGGCGAAAGCCUGACGCAGCCAUGCCGCGUGAAUGAUGAAGGUCUUAGGAUUGUAAAAUUCUUUCACCGGGGACGAUAAUGACGGUACCCGGAGAAGAAGCCCCGGCUAACUUCGUGCCAGCCGCCGCAGUAA